CGAAGGACCCGAGCGUUAUCCGGAUUUAUUGGGUUUAAAGGGUGCGUAGGCGUCCUGGAAAGUUACGGUUGAAAUCUCCUUGCUCAACAAGGAAACUGGCCGUAAAACUAUCAGGAUUGAGUACAUUUGAAGCGGGCGGAAUGUGUCAUGUAGCGGUGAAAUGCUUAGAUAUGACACAGAACACCAAUUGCGAAGGCAGCUCGCUAAACUGUAACUGACGCUGAGGCACGAAAGCGUGGGGAUCAAACAGGAUUAGAUACCCUGGUAGUCCACGCCCUAAACGAUGAUUACUCGAUGUGUGCGAUACACUGUACGCGUCUGAGCGAAAGCAUUAAGUAGUCCACCUGGGGAGUACGAUCGCAAGAUUG
rnacentral:rRNA from 1 species